GACGAACGCUGGCGGCGUGCUUAACACAUGCGAGUCGAACGGAAAGGCCCUGCUUUUGUGGGGUGCUCGAGUGGCGAACGGGUGAGUAACACGUGAGUAACCUGCCCUUGACUUUGGGAUAACUUCAGGAAACUGGGGCUAAUACCGGAUAGGAGCUCCUGCUGCAUGGUGGGGGUUGGAAAGUUUCGGCGGUUGGGGAUGGACUCGCGGCUUAUCAGCUUGUUGGUGGGGUAGUGGCUUACCAAGGCUUUGACGGGUAGCCGGCCUGAGAGGGUGACCGGCCACAUUGGGACUGAGAUACAGCCCAGACUCCUACGGGAGGCAGCAGUGGGGAAUAUUGCACAAUGGGCGGAAGCCUGAUGCAGCAACGCCGCGUGCGGGAUGACGGCCUUCGGGUUGUAAACCGCUUUCGCCUGUGACGAAGCGUGAGUGACGGUAAUGGGUAAAGAAGCACCGGCUAACUACGUG
rnacentral:rRNA from 1 species